GACGUAGGGUGCAAGCGUUGUCCGGAUUUAUUGGGCGUAAAGAGCUCGUAGGCGGCUUGUUGCGUCGACUGUGAAAACCCGCGGCUUAACCGCGGGCUUGCAGUUGAUACGGGCAGGCUAGAGUUCGGUAGGGGAGACUGGAAUUCCUGGUGUAGCGGUGAAAUGCGCAGAUAUCGGGAGGAACACCUGUGGCGAAGGCGGCCGACUGGGCCGACCCUGACGCUGAGGCGCGAAGGCGUGGGGAGCGAACGGG
rnacentral:rRNA from 1 species